AAGAGUGUGGUGAUGAUACACUUUGUGGACUAGAGUUUCUGAUAUGGGUAAAACCUAGAAUCUGAUUACAAACCCUUGGCUGUCUGAGCACCCUU